rnacentral:rRNA from 1 species
UUCCAGACUCCUACGGGAGGCAGCAGUGAGGAAUAUUGGUCAAUGGCCGGAAGGCUGAACCAGCCAAGCCGCGUGAAGGACGAAGGUGCCAAGCAUUGUAAACUUCUUUUGUCAAGGGACAAAAUCAGGCUCGAGAGCCUGACCGAGGGUACUUGAAGAAAAAGCAUCGGCUAACUCCGUGCCAGCAGCCGCGGUAAUACGGAGGAUGCGAGCGUUAUCCGGAUUUAUUGGGUUUAAAGGGUGCGUAGGCGGACGCUUAAGUCAGCGGUAAAAUUGCGGGGCUCAACCCCUUUAAGCCGUUGAAACUGGUGAUCUUGAGUGGGCGAGAAGUAUGCGGAAUGCGUGGUGUAGCGGUGAAAUGCAUAGAUAUCACGCAGAACUCCGAUUGCGAAGGCAGCAUACCGGCGCCCGACUGACGCUGAGGCACGAAAGCGUGGGGAUCGAACAGGAUUAGAUACCCGCGUA